ensembl:lncRNA
UGGGGUAGAGUGAGCUGUGAGCUGGGGUAGAGUGAGCUGUGAGCUGGGGUAGAGUGCUCUGGGGUAGAGUGAGCUGGGGUAGAGUGAGCUGUGAGCUGGGGUAGAGUGAGCUGGGGUAGAGUGAGCUGUGAGCUGGGGUAGAGUGAUUUGGGGUAGAGUGAGCUGUGAGCUGGGUAGAGUGCAGAGUGAGCUGGGGUAGAGUGAGCUGCUGGCUGGGGUAGAGUGAGCUGUGAGCUGGGGUAGAGUGCAGAGUGAGCUGGGGUAGAGUGAGCUGGGGUAGAGUGAGCUGGGGUAGAGUGAGCUGUGAGCUGGGGUAGAGUGAGCUGUGAGCUGGGGUAGAGUGAGCUGUGAGCUGGGGUAGAGUGAGCUGGGGUAGAGUGAGCUGUGAGCUGGGGUAGAGUGAUUUGGGGUAGAGUGAGCUGGGGUAGAGUGAGCUGUGAGCUGGGGUAGAGUGAGCUGUGAGCUGGGGUAGAGCUCGGAAUGGGAAAUUGUUGAAUGAUAUCAAGAAUGCCCUUCCUACUCAAAGUGUAUUGUUGUGGCAUUUGUGAAACCAGACGUACGGCC